UCCAGACUCCUACGGGAGGCAGCAGUGAGGAAUAUUGGUCAAUGGCCGCAGGGCUGAACCAGCCAAGUCGCGUGAGGGAUGACGGUCCUAUGGAUUGUAAACCUCUUUUGUCAGGGAGCAAAGGGCGCCACGUGUGGCGUUUUGCGAGUACCUGAAGAAAAAGCAUCGGCUAACUCCGUGCCAGCAGCCGCGGUAAUACGUAGGGAGCAAGCGUUAUCCGGAUUUAUUGGGUGUAAAGGGUGCGUAGACGGGAAAUUAAGUUAGUUGUGAAAUCCCUCGGCUCAACUGAGGAACUGCAACUAAAACUGAUUUUCUUGAGUGCAGGAGAGGUAAGUGGAAUUCCUAGUGUAGCGGUGAAAUGCGUAGAUAUUAGGAGGAACACCAGUGGCGAAGGCGACUUACUGGACUGUAACUGACGUUGAGGCACGAAAGUGUGGGGAGCAAACAGGAUUAGAUACCCGGGAUUC
rnacentral:rRNA from 1 species